rnacentral:rRNA from 1 species
AGACUCCUACGGGAGGCAGCAGUGAGGAAUAUUGGUCAAUGGACGAGAGUCUGAACCAGCCAAGUAGCGUGCAGGAUGACGGCCCUAUGGGUUGUAAAACUGCUUUUAUAAGGGAAUAAAAGUGAGUCUCGUGAGACUUUUUGCAUGUACCUUAUGAAUAAGGACCGGCUAAUUCCGUGC